AGCAGUAAAAAACUGCCCCACACAUACGCACCUCAGGCGUCCCAGCGAAGCAGAAUGAUAAAACGGUGGGGAAAAGGAGAGAUUAGAGCCGGCUCCGAGCAGCCGAGCGGCGCCGCCGCGGAGGAGAGCCCGCCCCGCACAGCCGUGAGGACCAGAGAAGAGUACACCACCGGACCGGGAACGGGCCGGGAACCUGCUGCCGUGAACCGCCGCGGCGGGCAGGGAAGGAGCGCCGCGGCGGAUUAGGAAGGAGCGCCGUCGCAGGCCUAGGGAGAGCGCCGCCCGGACCAAGCUCCCUACUCGACCGAUCAAGGACUCUCGAUUCCGGCUGCCUGCAGCACAUCAGGCCAUCAGCUAACAGAAUGGCGGCACCGGGCAAAGCUAGCGGUAUGCAACAGCAGAGAGGCUGUUGAUUUGCUUAUAUCUGGUUCUGCUAUUAAGUUACUGAAGCAAGGCGAGAAGUGCUUUGGCGUGACUUCUUCCAACGUUGACUGGAGCAAUUGGGCGUGGCUUCGUCGGGCGUCGGGCGAGCUUUGGCAUGACUUCGUCGGACGUCGAGUGAAGCAGCUGGACAUGGAUUUUCGUGGUAGCUCUGUCGACUUCAAUAUGUUCAAGUCGUCGUGUUUGUCAACUUCGAAUUGAUUGGUGUGUCAUUGUGCGGCUGGUUGUACUUGCUUAUAUGGGUUGAGGUGGCUGGGUUUGAGGUGGCCGAGACGUAUGGAAAUCUGAUCGUGACCUUGUCAUAUUUUU